CCUACGGGGGGCAGCAGUGAGGAAUAUUGGUCAAUGGACGAGAGUCUGAACCAGCCAAGUAGCGUGAAGGAUGACUGCCCUAUGGGUUGUAAACUUCUUUUAUAUGGGAAUAAAAUGUUCCACGUGUGGGAUUUUGUAUGUACCAUAUGAAUAAGGAUCGGCUAACUCCGUGCCAGCAGCCGCGGUAAUACGGAGGAUCCGAGCGUUAUACGGAUUUAUUGGGUUUAAAGGGAGCGUAGGUGGAUUGUUAAGUCAGUGGUGAAAGUUUGCGGCUCAACCGUAAAAUUGCAGUUGAAACUGGCAGUCUUGAGUACAGUAGAGGUGGGCGGAAUUCGUGGUGUAGCGGUGAAAUGCUUAGAUAUCACGAAGAACUCCGAUUGCGAAGGCAGUUCACUGGACUGCAACUGACACUGAGGCUCGAAAGUGUGGGUAUCAAACAGGAUUAGAUACCCGUGUAGUC
rnacentral:rRNA from 1 species